ACACGUCGAGCUCUCUAAGAGGCUGGAAAGAAUGUUUCUUCUUCAUAAGGCCUCAAGACCUCGACCACCCUUUUUGCCUAAAUCGGGACAUCCCCAAUAAGGACAGAUUCAACAAGGGUCAGGCAUACUUCAAGGUUUUAGAGAGAGAUAUGUUGAAGCUAGUAAAUCAGGACCCUCUUGCAGCAAAAAUUGAUUAUCUACUCGAGAAUGACACCCUCGACCUUGUCAAUGUGAGAGGCUUCGAAGGUACAAUCUUUACCUUUUUGUGUGUUUUUUGUAUUAACUCGAAUUCGAGAUCGAGCUAAUGCCUUGGCUUUUUACUUUUUUCAGAAUUAUAAUUGUCUUUCGAUCCAUCUAAACUCGUUGCAAAUGUCCACCAUAAGGCCAAAUGCCUGAGGCCGAAGGCUCUCACUCCGUCAAAGGGGAAGAAGAGGGUAAAGGAGACUGCACCUAAGAAUGUCGUGAAUGGGAUGGGGUAAACCUUGAGGACAGAAAGCUCGAUCCCUCCAUCACAACCUACUCUAAGAUCAUAAGUUUGAGCUCUCACUCUUCGAGGUACUUCCGAGAUUGUUGACUUAGAUGACAACUUCAUUCCUUAGAGCUCGAUGGAAUAAUAUGCUGAAUGAUCGCUGAUCUCGGGCAUUGUGAAUAAUCUGCUGACGAAGUCGAUCAUAAUAAAGGGGUUAAGACCCUCAAGCUUCUGACCUUAAAGGCAUGAUCUCGAUCUUACUGGUAAUUAUUCAAUCUUUCACGGUCAAUUUGACAUUGAUCUUGCUUUCUCCUUUCAGACUUUGAGUGUUGCUCAGGGCUCAACCCUGAAAAGGGAUAAAUACCUCUCGCAAACUGCAGAAGCUUGAUGCGCAGAAUGAGCAGAAAGUUUACGAGCUCGAGCUGGAGAGUGACUUGACCAGGAUUGAGGCUAGAAAGGCCCAGGAUGAGGCCAAAAAGGGCAAACUCAAGCUCAUGCACUCUAAGAAGGGCUUUGAGGAUGGUUAAGGCUCGAGCUCAGGCGGUGGAUGAUUUCAAGAAGUCAGAAGAGUUCUGGAGGUUGCUAGGGCAAGAUAGUUCAGGCUAAUAGCCUCAUACCAUUAUGGCCUGAGGUUUGCUCCCCCAUUUUUACAAACCAAGCUCCCUGAAGACUUGAAGCCCAUCGUUGAGAAGCUUAAGUCGAUCAACAAGCUCACGAAUGAGCUCGAGCUUUCUAUGUCAAAGCUCAAGGAUGAAGACGAUGAUGAUGCUAGGACUCCUAAUCAGGGCGAUCUUGCGAACGCCGCCUACUUGGAUUAGGCC
rnacentral:lncRNA from 1 species